UCCAACGGGUAUUUUGCUUUACUAUCACCUACCGAAAAGCUUGUCUUCUUCACUACCGAAAAAUUUGUGAAUUUGUGGUUUCCCUCAUUUGAGCUCCUUCGAAUUUGUGUUCCAGCUACACUAUUCUUUCUCACUAUUAAUUCCGAAUUUCUACUCGCCAAUAUCUCUCUAAAACCCCUCUCUCUCUCUCUCCCCCCCCCCCCCCCUUCAUUUCUCUCUCUUCAAAAAUACAAUCAGAGGCAGCGCACCGAGAUCAGCUCAACACUUCUCUCAGGCAAGCUUUUUCUGCUUUCAUUUUCAAUACUCAAUUUGUGUAGUAUGUGUUUUACUCGAGUUUGUCGAUUGUUUGUAUCUGCUUCUUCGUGUUUUUUGCUGAUUUUGUAUAUAUGUGCUAGCUAUCGCCGAUUUUUUUAUUGAGGCUCUGCUUUGGUGCAUUCUAAUUGAAGCUCUACUUUCGAAUUGAAGCUCAGUCUCACAGUAGCCAUUCUAAUUUGUCACAUAGAAGAUUACUAGAGCUGCACGCUCCUAAGUUGUUUUGUGGAUUGCUAUUCCGAUUGAGGCGUUUGAGCUGCACACGAGAUACUUGUGAAAUUAGCUAGCAUUUGUGCUGUGAGUUUGGACCCGAAGAGUUUGAAGUUAAUUUGCAACCAUUCUUUCAUGUUAAGGUUGCACCCAAGCAUUGGAGGCUGGAGAUCAAUUUCAGCCAGGAUGCAGUGCUGAUGCUUUCAUCAAUAAGCUUACCUAAUGGCAUCCAGGCUGAAGUUCGUGGCUUCCAACAUGACGGCUCCUUGCACCUACAACAAUUUCAGUGAAAGGGCAUAAAUUGCUUGAUAUAUUGAACCUUCAUAAGGGGUCACCAAAUAAAGGUCAAGAAUAGUAUGCUAAAAAGAGUGGAUGUUGAGGAUAAUCUUUCCCAAAUGAAAACAUUUUCUUAAUCAUGUUUUACACAUGUAAUUGCAUAUAUUUCACCGUGCCCCAUAUAUAUUGGUGGUUGACCUUGUUAUUUGAGUUAAUUGCAUAAAUAUUCAAGAGCUUAUUUGACAUGGAUAAUAGCAACAUCUAUUUCUUCUA